UAACGUAGGGAAACUUACGCUAAUACCGCAUACGACCUACGGGUGAAAGCAGGGGACCUUCGGGCCUUGCGCGAUUGAAUGAGCCGAUGUCGGAUUAGCUAGUUGGCGGGGUAAAGGCCCACCAAGGCGACGAUCCGUAGCUGGUCUGAGAGGAUGAUCAGCCACACUGGAACUGAGACACGGUCCAGACUCCUACGGGAGGCAGCAGUGGGGAAUAUUGGACAAUGGGCGCAAGCCUGAUCCAGCCAUACCGCGUGGGUGAAGAAGGCCUUCGGGUUGUAAAGCCCUUUUGUUGGGAAAGAAAUCCAGCCGGCUAAUACCUGGUUGGGAUGACGGUACCCAAAGAAUAAGCACCGGCUAACUUCGUGCCAGCAGCCGCGGUAAUACGAAGGGUGCAAGCGUUACUCGGAAUUACUGGGCGUAAAGCGUGCGUAGGUGGUUGUUUAAGUCUGUUGUGAAAGCCCUGGGCUCAACCUGGGAACUGCAGUGGAACUGGACAACUAGAGUGUGGUAGAGGGUAGCGGAAUUCCCGGUGUAGCAGUGAAAUGCGUAGAGAUCGGGGAGGAAC
rnacentral:rRNA from 1 species